AGUGGUGACAUUGCUCCAAAACAAUCAUAACGGUACUCUUUAAAGAGUCUUCUAAUUUAUUUUACUUAUACCCUCCCCCUCCACCCCCGCUGAGGUAGGAAUAUAUCUCAAACUCACACAACCAGAGGUAAAGACUUUUCCCACUAGAUGCUCAAAAACACAAGGCUCUUGCAGCUUCAGUUCAGCAAAUUAGCAACAGAUCCUAAGCAAUCAAAGGACACAAACUCACCUGUCUGUUAUCCUUUUCAGUGGACUGACUAGUUUGUGCACAGAGUUAAACC
rnacentral:lncRNA from 10 species